rnacentral:rRNA from 1 species
UACGAAGGGGGCUAGCGUUGCUCGGAAUCACUGGGCGUAAAGCGCACGUUAGGCGGAUUGUUAAGUCAGGGGUGAAAUCCUGGAGCUCAACUCCAGAACUGCCUUUGAUGACUGGCGGAUCUCGAGUCCGGGAGAGGUGAGUGGAACUGCGAGUGUAGAGGUGAAAUUCGUAGAUAUUCGCAAGAACACCAGUGGCGAAAGGCGGCUCACUGGCCCGGUACUGACGCUGAGGUGCGAAAGCGAUGGGAGCAA